GUUUAAAUGUUUUUUCGCCUAAGGAUGGGUCUGCGGCCGAUUAGGUAGUUGGUUAGGUAAUGGCUUACCAAGCCGUUGAUCGGUACGGGUUGUGAGAGCAAGAGCCCGGAGAUGGAACCUGAGACAAGGUUCCAGGCCCUACGGGGUGCAGCAGGCGCGAAACCUCCGCAAUGUGAGAAAUCGCGACGGGGGGAUCCCAAGUGCCAUUCUUAACGGGAUGGCUUUUCAUUAGUGUAAAGAGCUUUUGGAAUAAGAGCUGGGCAAGACCGGUGCCAGCCGCCGCGGUAACACCGGCAGCUCUAGUGGUAGCAGUUUUUAUUGGGCCUAAAGCGUCCGUAGCCGGUUUAAUAAGUCUCUGGUGAAAUCCUGUAGCUUAACUGUGGGAAUUGCUGGAGAUACUAUUAGACUUGAGACCGGGAGAGGUUAGAGGUACUCCCAGGGUAGAGGUGAAAUUCUGUAAUCUUGGGAGGACCGCCUGUUGCGAAGGCGUCUAACUGGAACGGUUCUGACGGUGAGGGACGAAAGUUAGGGGCGCGAACCGGAUUAGAUACCCGGGUAGUCCUAACUGUAAACGAUGCGGACUUGGUGUUGGGGUGGCUUUGAGCUGCUCCAGUGCCGAAGGGAAGCUGUUAAGUCCGCCGCCUGGGAAGUACGGUCGCAAGACUGAAACUUAA
rnacentral:rRNA from 1 species